CAUAUCUUUCUCUCCUCAACGCUCUCAUUAAAAAAAGUACUCGUGUCUUACUUGUGCCAGCCACUCGCUUUUUCUCAGAUUUUUUUAUUAUCCUUUCCUCGGCAAAAAAAAGAUUUUAGCUAAGAUGGUGAAGAACUACCCAACCGUGAGCGAAGAUUAUCUCAAGGCUAUUGAGAAGUGCAGGAGAAAGCUUAGAGGCAUGAUCGCUGAGAAGAACUGUGCACCCAUCAUGGUCCGACUCGCAUGGCACUCUGCUGGAACAUUCGAUUGCGCCUCAAGGACUGGUGGUCCCUUUGGAACAAUGAGGUUUGAUGCUGAGCAAGCUCACGGAGCCAACAGUGGUAUCCACGUUGCUCUUAGGUUUUUGGAACCCAUCAGGGAGCAAUUCCCUACCAUCUCUUUUGCUGACUUCCAUCAGCUUGCUGGUGUUGUGGGCAUUGAAGUUACUGGUGGCCCUGAUAUUCCUUUCCACCCUGGAAGAGAGGACAAGCCCCAGCCACCUCCAGAGGGUCGUCUUCCUGAUGCUACAAAGGGUUGUGAGCACUUGAGAGAUGUCUUUAGCAAGCAGAUGGGCUUAUCUGACAAGGACAUUGUUGCUUUGUCUGGUGCCCACACUCUGGGAAGAUGCCACAAGGAUAGGUCUGGCUUCGAAGGUGCCUGGACUUCAAACCCUCUAAUUUUCGACAACUCUUACUUCAAGGAACUCUUGAGCGGAGAGAAGGAAGGCCUGCUUCAACUUGUCUCUGACAAGGCGCUGUUGGACGAUCCUGUUUUCCGUCCUUUAGUCGAGAAAUACGCUGCUGUAUGCAUUCUUUCUCUUUUCUAUGUUCUUCACUUGGUAGAGAUAAAGAGAACUCAUGGUUUCUUGUGACAAUGGGAACAGGAUGAAGAAGCCUUUUUCGCUGAUUACGCUGAGGCCCACUUGAAGCUUUCAGAGCUUGGGUUUGCUGAUGCUUAAGCUGUGACUUAUGUGUGUUUGUGUCUCUGAGACUCAUGGCUGUUUUUGGUUGGGGGCCGGAGGGGUCGCAUUGCAUUUGAACUUUGUCAUAUGAUUGCUUAAAUGUACUCUCGGAUUUGCGUUAUCUUGUUUUUCGGUGGGUUGUGAUUUGACACAUCCGUUGCGCUUUUGCUGGUUAGACAUUUUAAUAAAAUUAAUUUCUCGCAUA